GAUGAACGCUGGCGGCGUGCCUAACACAUGCAAGUCGAGCGAACCCUUCGGGGUGAGCGGCGGACGGGUGAGUAACGCGUGGGUAACCUGCCCUGUACACACGGAUAACAUACCGAAAGGUAUGCUAAUACGGGAUAAUAUAUGAGAGUCGCAUGGCUUUUGCAUCAAAGCUCCGGCGGUACAGGAUGGACCCGCGUCUGAUUAGCUAGUUGGUAAGGUAACGGCUUACCAAGGCAACGAUCAGUAGCCGACCUGAGAGGGUGAUCGGCCACAUUGGAACUGAGACACGGUCCAAACUCCUACGGGAGGCAGCAGUGGGGAAUAUUGCACAAUGGGCGAAAGCCUGAUGCAGCAACGCCGCGUGAGCGAUGAAGGCCUUCGGGUCGUAAAGCUCUGUCCUCAAGGAAGAUAAUGACGGUACUUGAGGAGGAAGCCCCGGCUAACUACGUGCCAGCAGCCGCGGUAAUACGUAGGGGGCUAGCGUUAUCCGGAAUUACUGGGCGUAAAGGGUGCGUAGGCGGUCUUUCAAGCCAGAAGUGAAAGGCUACGGCUCAACCGUAGUAAGCUUUUGGAACUGUAGGACUUGAGUGCAGGAGAGGAGAGUGGAAUUCCUAGUGUAGCGGUGAAAUGCGUAGAUAUUAGGAGGAACACCAGUAGCGAAGGCGGCUCUCUGGACUGUAACUGACGCUGAGGCACGAAAGCGUGGGGAGCAAACAGGAUUA
rnacentral:rRNA from 1 species